rnacentral:rRNA from 1 species
CGGGGGGAGCAAGCGUUGUUCGGAUUUACUGGGCGUAAAGGGCGCGUAGGCGGCCAGCGCAAGUCAGUUGUGAAAUCUCCGGGCUUAACUCGGAGAGGUCAACUGAUACUGCGCGGCUAGAGUGCAGAAGGGGCAACUGGAAUUCUCGGUGUAGCGGUGAAAUGCGUAGAUAUCGAGAGGAACACCUGCGGCGAAGGCGGGUUGCUGGGCUGACACUGACGCUGAGGCGCGAAAGCCAGGGGAGCGAACGGGAUUAGAUACCCCGGUAGUCCUGGCCUUAAACGAUGGAUGCUUGGUGUCUGGAGUUUUAUAGUCUCCGGGUGCCGUAGCUAACGCGUUAAGCAUCCCGCCUGGGGAGUACGGUCGCAAGACUG